rnacentral:rRNA from 1 species
AGUGAACGCUGGCGGUAGGCCUAGCUCAUGCAAGUCGAACGGCAGCACAGUAAGAGCUUGCUCUUACGGGUGGCGAGUGGCGGACGGGUGAGGAAUACAUCGGAAUCUACUUUUUCGUGGGGGAUAACGUAGGGAAACUUACGCUAAUACCGCAUACGACCUACGGGUGAAAGCAGGGGAUCUUCGGACCUUGCGCGAUUGAAUGAGCCGAUGUCGGAUUAGCUAGUUGGCGGGGUAAAGGCCCACCAAGGCGACGAUCCGUAGCUGGUCUGAGAGGAUGAUCAGCCACACUGGAACUGAGACACGGUCCAGACUCCUACGGGAGGCAGCAGUGGGGAAUAUUGGACAAUGGGCGCAAGCCUGAUCCAGCCAUACCGCGUGGGUGAAGAAGGCCUUCGGGUUGUAAAGCCCUUUUGUUGGGAAAGAAAAGCAGCAGGUUAAUACCCCGCUGUUCUGACGGUACCCAAAGAAUAAGCACCGGCUAACUUCGUG